GAUGAACGCUGGCGGUGUGCCUAACACAUGCAAGUCGAGCGAACGGACGAUAAGCGCUCUCUCUUGCUGUUAGCGGCGGACGGGCGAGUAACGCGUGGAUAACCUACUUAUUUUUCUGGGAUAAUAUCGGGAGACCGCUUCCAAUACUGGAUCAUACGUUGUACCGCAUGAUUCAAAAGUGAUUGACGGUUUUGCCGUCACUUAUAGACGGUUUCGCGUUGCAUUAGCUAGUUGGUAAGGUAACGGCUUACCAAGGCAACGAUGCGUAGCUGACCUGAGAGGGUGAUCGGCCACACUGGAACUGAGACACGGUCCAGACUCCUACGGGAGGCAGCAGUAGGGAAUCUUCGACAAUGGGCGAAAGCCUGACGGAGCAACACCGCGUGAGUGAUGAAGGUCUUCGGGUCGUAAAGCUCUGUUGUUAGGGAAGAACAUCUGUGUGAGAAACUGUGGACGUCUUGACGGUACCUAAUCAGAAAGCAACGGCUAACUACGUG
rnacentral:rRNA from 1 species